UGGUCUGGUAAGAAGAACGCAAAGGCUGCAAGCCUGGAAGACCUCAGCCUCCAAGCCCGGGGAAAUCUUCUCGCAGGUUCCUCUGUCAACUUACUACCCCCUGUUAUCAAGGGACAGGCUUGCUGGAGAAACUUAACAUCUUUAAAACCUGAACAUGUAUCUCCUACCACCCGAGGACAGAUGAUGGAGGUGAUGACCUGAAAGAGGGAGGAAGUGGAAGGGGAGGAGCACAAGACUUGGACCACUUGGCAUAGAUUUAUACCCACGUGGCAGAUGAGGAAACUGAGGCUCCAGCUGAACAGUCAGCAGGAGAAAAGUUAAAAUGGAAGGAAAAGAAAACCUAAGACGGAAGUACCCAAAGUAAUAUCCACGGAGGUGAGAGAGGGAGCUCGCCUCCCCAAGAGGCUCCCUGCUCCUCUGGGCAGUGAGGAGGACCAGUGGCUGCUUGGCAGGGACACAGGCCUGCCUGCCUGCCUGCGACCCCAAAGGGGGCCUUCCACCUACUGGGUUACAGAGAAGAGCCAACUCGGAGGUGAGCAGAGCCUGCAUCUUCUCCAGCACCCACAUCGUGCCUGGGAAAGGGGGUCAGGAGCCUCCAAUUCAAAACACAUCAGUGAUCAUGUUUUCUCAAGAAUUUGGGCUUUUCCAAUGUUAUUAGUACAUAAAAACCACAGGCCAGAUGUUAGAGGGACAACCAGAAAUGGAAUGCGUUGCAAUGACCCCAAGUUUAAAAAGGAGGAGGACCCAAGAGAAUAAAGGUCUGGUUUAGCCUUCCGGUCACGGUGGGCUCCCCAGGAAAGGACAGCGUGCAAUUUGGAGCCAGGGGAACUGUGGGAAAGCUGGCAAAGGGGCUUCCCAAAAUACUUUCCAGACACGUACUGUGGGCUUCUUUUUCUCGUACAGCAGAGAAAAAGCAAUCA